GAAUAGGUUUUAGAGAGAGGAGUAAGAGAGAGAGACAGAUUAGCGGUGGAGAGAGAGAGCAGAGCCGUCGUCUCCAGCUGGUGAUGAUGGUCGGGUGGUUUUGACGCGACAAACGGUAGAAGGUGAUGGUGGUUAAGGGCUUCACUUCUCAUUUUUAUAAUGGGGUUUUAGGGUUUAUUGAAGUUGGUGUGUAAGAAAGUGAGGAACAAUAAUUGGGUCUGCAGCUAAUGGAGCGUUAGAUGUUUCUCGUUCUUUGUUAAUAUAAGUGAUGGAAUUUAGUUAUCUCUUUCUGUUUUCUCAAUAAAUAUGAUUUUGAAUGGGUAUUGGACUAUUACGUAAGCCAUGAACGGGAUCGAAUAUAUAGCACUUCUAUGUUACAGAGGUUUGAUGUUGCAGGUUUGAUAUUGUUGGACAUUGCUCGUAUGAUAUGUUUUGUCUUUCUAGCAUCACCAAUAUAUUAAUUACUUAAAGAUCUUUUGAAAACAUGAAGAUCUAUUCAACAAUGGUUAGCACGCAGAUGCCAUCAUUUAUCAUUAUGCAUGAGAAGUUUUUUUUUUAAAAUCAUUUAUUUAUAAAAGAUGUUAUAUGAUAAUUGUAGUUCUGGGA